rnacentral:rRNA from 1 species
UACGAGGGGAGCAAGCGUUGUUCGGAUUUACUGGGCGUAAAGGGCGCGUAGGCGGCCACGACAAGUCACUUGUGAAAUCUCCGGGCUUAACUCGGAACGGUCAAGUGAUACUGUCGGGCUAGAGUACAGAAGGGGCAACUGGAAUUCUCGGUGUAGCGGUGAAAUGCGUAGAUAUCGAGAGGAACACCUGCGGCGAAGGCGGGUUGCUGGGCUGAUACUGACGCUGAUGCGCGAAAGCGUGGGGAGCGAACAGG